UGCCUCAGUAACGGCGAGUGAAGCGGCAAGAGCUCAAAUUUGAAAGCUGGCCCCCUCGGGGUCCGCAUUGUAAUUUGCAGAGGAUGCUUCGGGAGUGGCCCCCAUCUAAGUGCCCUGGAACGGGCCGUCAUAGAGGGUGAGAAUCCCGUCUGGGAUGGGGUGCCCACGCCCGUGUGAAGCUCCUUCGACGAGUCGAGUUGUUUGGGAAUGCAGCUCUAAAUGGGUGGUAAAUUUCAUCUAAAGCUAAAUACUGGCCGGAGACCGAUAGCGCACAAGUAGAGUGAUCGAAAGAUGAAAAGCACUUUGAAAAGAGAGUUAAACAGCACGUGAAAUUGUUGAAAGGGAAGCGCUUGCGACCAGACUCGCCCACGGGGUUCAGCCGGCAUUCGUGCCGGUGUUCUUCCCCGCGGGCGGGCCAGCGUCGGUUUGGGCGGCCGGUCAAAGGCCCUUGGAAUGUACCGCCCCCCGGGGCGGCUUAUAGCCAAGGGUGCCAUGCGGCCAGCCCGGACCGAGGAACGCGCUUCGGCUCGGACGCUGGCAUAAUGGUCGUAAGCGACCCGUCUUGAAACACGGACCAAGGAGUCUAACAUCUACGCGAGUGUUCGGGUGUCAAACCCGUGCGCGCAGUGAAAGCGAACGGAGGUGGGAACCCCUCGGGGCGCACCAUCGACCGAUCCUGAUGUCUUCGGAUGGAUUUGAGUAAGAGCGUAGCUGUUGGGACCCGAAAGAUGGUGAACUAUGCCUGAAUAGGGCGAAGCCAGAGGAAACUCUGGGUGGAGGCUCGCAGCGGUUCUGACGUGCAAAUCGAUCGUCAAAUUUGGGUAUAGGGGCGAAAGACUAAAUCGAAACCAAUCUAGUAGCUGGUUCUGCGAAG
rnacentral:rRNA from 1 species